UACGUAGGUGGCAAGCGUUGUCCGGAAUUAUUGGGCGUAAAGCGCGCGCAGGCGGUUUCUUAAGUCUGAUGUGAAAGCCCCGGGCUCAACCUGGGAACUGCAUUGGAAACUAACGGGCUCGAGUGUGGCAGAGGGGGGUGGAAUUCCACGUGUAGCAGUGAAAUGCGUAGAGAUGUGGAGGAACACCGAUGGCGAAGGCAGCCCCCUGGGCUAACACUGACGCUCAGGCACGAAAGCGUGGGGAGCAAACAGG
rnacentral:rRNA from 1 species